rnacentral:rRNA from 1 species
UUAAGCGACUAAGCGUACACGGUGGAUGCCCUGGCAGUCAGAGGCGAUGAAGGACGUGCUAAUCUGCGAUAAGCGUCGGUAAGGUGAUAUGAACCGUUAUAACCGGCGAUUUCCGAAUGGGGAAACCCAGUGUGUUUCGACACACUAUCAUUAACUGAAUCCAUAGGUUAAUGAGGCGAACCGGGGGAACUGAAACAUCUAAGUACCCCGAGGAAAAGAAAUCAACCGAGAUUCCCCCAGUAGCGGCGAGCGAACGGGGAGCAGCCCAGAGCCUGAAUCAGUGUGUGUGUUAGUGGAAGCGUCUGGAAAGGCGCGCGAUACAGGGUGACAGCCCCGUACACAAAAAUGCACAUGCUGUGAGCUCGAUGAGUAGGGCGGGACACGUGGUAUCCUGUCUGAAUAUGGGGGGACCAUCCUCCAAGGCUAAAUACUCCUGACUGACCGAUAGUGAACCAGUACCGUGAGGGAAAGGCGAAAAGAACCCCGGCGAGGGGAGUGAAAAAGAACCUGAAACCGUGUACGUACAAGCAGUGGGAGCACGCUUAGGCGUGUGACUGCGUACCUUUUGUAUAAUGGGUCAGCGACUUAUAUUCUGUAGCAAGGUUAACCGAAUAGGGGAGCCGAAGGGAAACCGAGUCUUAACUGGGCGUUAAGUUGCAGGGUAUAGACCCGAAACCCGGUGAUCUAGCCAUGGGCAGGUUGAAGGUUGGGUAACACUAACUGGAGGACCGAACCGACUAAUGUUGAAAAAUUAGCGGAUGACUUGUGGCUGGGGGUGAAAGGCCAAUCAAACCGGGAGAUAGCUGGUUCUCCCCGAAAGCUAUUUAGGUAGCGCCUCGUGAAUUCAUCUCCGGGGGUAGAGCACUGUUUCGGCAAGGGGGUCAUCCCGACUUACCAACCCGAUGCAAACUGCGAAUACCGGAGAAUGUUAUCACGGGAGACACACGGCGGGUGCUAACGUCCGUCGUGAAGAGGGAAACAACCCAGACCGCCAGCUAAGGUCCCAAAGUCAUGGUUAAGUGGGAAACGAUGUGGGAAGGCCCAGACAGCCAGGAUGUUGGCUUAGAAGCAGCCAUCAUUUAAAGAAAGCGUAAUAGCUCACUGGUCGAGUCGGCCUGCGCGGAAGAUGUAACGGGGCUAAACCAUGCACCGAAGCUGCGGCAGCGACGCUUAUGCGUUGUUGGGUAGGGGAGCGUUCUGUAAGCCUGCGAAGGUGUGCUGUGAGGCAUGCUGGAGGUAUCAGAAGUGCGAAUGCUGACAUAAGUAACGAUAAAGCGGGUGAAAAGCCCGCUCGCCGGAAGACCAAGGGUUCCUGUCCAACGUUAAUCGGGGCAGGGUGAGUCGACCCCUAAGGCGAGGCCGAAAGGCGUAGUCGAUGGGAAACAGGUUAAUAUUCCUGUACUUGGUGUUACUGCGAAGGGGGGACGGAGAAGGCUAUGUUGGCCGGGCGACGGUUGUCCCGGUUUAAGCGUGUAGGCUGGUUUUCCAGGCAAAUCCGGAAAAUCAAGGCUGAGGCGUGAUGACGAGGCACUACGGUGCUGAAGCAACAAAUGCCCUGCUUCCAGGAAAAGCCUCUAAGCAUCAGGUAACAUCAAAUCGUACCCCAAACCGACACAGGUGGUCA